CCUACGGGUGACAGCAGUGGGGAAUAUUGGGCAAUGGGCGCAAGCCUGACCCAGCAACGCCGCGUGAAGGAAGAAGGCUUUCGGGUUGUAAACUUCCUUUCUCAGGGACGAAGAAAGUGACGGUACCUGAGGAAUAAGCCACGGCUAACUACGUGCCAGCAGUAGCGGCAAUACGGCGGUGGCAAGCGUUAUCCGGAUUUACUGGGUGUAAAGGGCGUGUAGGCGGGGAAGCAAGUCAGAUGUGAAAACCACGGGCUCAACCUGUGGCGUGCAUUUGAAACUGGUUUUCUUGAGUACUGGAGAGGCAGGCGGAAUGCGUGGUGUAGCGGUGAAAUGCAUAGAUAUUAGGAGGAACACCAGUGGCGAAGGCGGUCUGCUGGACAGCAACUGACGCUGAGGCGCGAAAGCGUGGGGAGCAAACAGGAUUAGAUACCCGUGUAGUC
rnacentral:rRNA from 1 species